CCUGGUGGCGAUGCGCUUAGGGGAAACACCCGUACCCAUCCCGAACACGAUGGUUAAGCCUUAAGCGGCCGAUGGUACUGCACUGGAGACGGUGUGGGAGAGCAGGUGGCUGCCAGGU
rnacentral:rRNA from 1 species